UGCCAGAAGAAAUCAUACUUAUCUUGCUUAGAAUAUGUCUUAGGAAUCGUAGUUAGCAUAUAAUUAGAGUUGGAAUUGGGAGGUAAUCCCAUCAACUCUGUUAGGGCUAAUUGGGCCCAAAGUUGGGCUAGAUUCAAGGCCCAUCCAGGGUGCUGAAACCUUGGCCGGUGGUGGCAUCGCUUGGGGAACAACACCUUAGGAAAU
rnacentral:lncRNA from 1 species